UCUUCCUUUUUAAUUUUCUUCCUAGAAAAUCAAAGAAAUAUUAAUGGGUGUUUCACUAUUCUAACUUUGUAUUUUAGGAAUAAGCACCUUGAUUGGAUGUCUCUAUCAUAUUCUUCCGAAUAUGCUUACAAGUAGAUUAAGGAAGGUGCUCAAGAAGAACACAAGUCUGAUUGAGAAAAGGGAAGUUUGUUGGUAAUACUGGCAAGGAAGAAGAAUGAUUUGAAUGUGUAAGAUAAAUAUUUAAGAACGGUUACACAGAUCUUUUGCACUAUUUGACGAUGCUCAAGAUGUUAGGUGGUUAGAUAUUUACGAGUUAAAGAUAGUUUGUUAACUUUGUAUCAUUCAUUUUUGCU